rnacentral:rRNA from 1 species
GAUCAUGGCUCAGGACGAACGCUGGCGGCGUGCCUAAUACAUGCAAGUCGAGCGAAGUUUUUCUGGUGCUUGCACUAGAAAAACUUAGCGGCGAACGGGUGAGUAACACGUAAAGAACCUGCCUCAUAGACUGGGACAACUAUUGGAAAUGAUAGCUAAUACCGGAUAACAGCAUUAACUGCAUGGUUGAUGUUUGAAAGUUGGUUUUGCUAACACUAUGAGAUGGCUUUGCGGUG